CCAGACUCCUACGGGAGGCAGCAGUGAGGAAUAUUGGUCAAUGGUCGGGAGACUGAACCAGCCAAGCCGCGUGAGGGAUGAAGGUACAGAGUAUCGUAAACCUCUUUUGUCAGGGAACAAAGGCGGGGACGUGUCCCCGGAUGAGUGUACCUGAAGAAAAAGCAUCGGCUAACUCCGUGCCAGCAGCCGCGGUAAUACGGAGGAUGCGAGCGUUAUCCGGAUUUAUUGGGUUUAAAGGGUGCGUAGGCGGGCAUUUAAGCCGGCGGUCAAAUGUCGGGGCUCAACCCCGGCCUGCCGUCGGAACUGGGUGCCUUGAGUGGGCGAGAAGUAUGCGGAAUGCGUGGUGUAGCGGUGAAAUGCAUAGAUAUCACGCAGAACCCCGAUUGCGAAGGCAGCAUACCGGCGCCCUACUGACGCUGAGGCACGAAAGUGCGGGUAUCGAACAGGAUUAGAUACCCGGGUA
rnacentral:rRNA from 1 species